AUGAGGAGGAAGAGGAGGAAGACGGGGAUGAAGAUGAGGACGGGGAUGAAGAUAAAGAUGGGGAUGAAGAUGGAGAGGGGCCCAAGGAGGGCGAUGAAGACGGGGAUGAAGAGGAAGAAGAAAGAAGAGGAGGAAGAGGAGGAUAAAGAAGAGGAUGAGGAUGAAGAUGAGGAUGAGGAUGAGGAGCAUGAAGAAGGGGAUGAGAACAAAAAUGAGGAUGAGGAGGAGGAUGGGGAUAGGAAUGAGGAUGAAGAUGAGGAUGAGGAGAAGGAGGAUGAAGAAAGUGAUGAGGACGAGGAUGAGAAGGAGGAUGGGGAGAGGGAAGAAGAUGAGGAUGAAGAGGAGGAGGAGGAGGGUGAGGAUGAAGAUGAGGAUGAGAAUGAGGACAAAGAUGAGGAGGAGGAGGAUGAAGAAGGGGAUGAGGAUGAGGAUGGGGAGAGGGAUGAGGAUGAAGAUGAGGAGGAGAAUGAAGAAGGGGAUGAAGAUGAGGAUGAAGAUGGGGAUGAGAAGGGGGAUGAGGAUGAAGAAGAGGAUGAAGAAGAUGAAGAAGAGGAUGAGGAUGAUGAUGAGGAUGAGGAUGAUGAGAAGGAGGAUGAGGAUGAAGAUGAGGGUGAGAAGGAGGAGGAGGAGGAGGAUGAAGACGAGGAUGAAGAUGAGGAUGAGAAGGAGGAUGAGGACAAGGAUGAGGACGAGGAGGAUGGGGAUGAAGAUGAGGAUGAAGAAGAGAAUGAAGACGAGGAUGAGGAGGAGAAGGAGGACGAAGAGGAGGACGAAGAGGAGGAUGAAGACGAGGAUGAAGAUGAGGAUGAGAAGGAGGAUGAGGAGGAGGAUGAGGAGGAGGAGGAGGAUGAAGAUAGGAUGAGAAGCAGGAUGAGGAGGAGGAGGAGGAGGAGGAUGAAAAUGAGGACAAGGAGGAGGACGAGAAGGAGGAUGAAGAUGAGAUGAAGAGGAUGAUGAAGAUGAGGAUGAGGAUGAAGACGGGGAUGAGGAUGAGGAGGAGGAGAAGGAUGAGGAUGAAGAUGAGGAGGAAGAGGAGGAGGAGGAGGAUGAGGAUGAGGAUGAAGAUGAGAAUGAUGAGGAGGAGAAGGAUGAGGAUGAAGAUGAGGAUGAAGAUGAGGAUGAAGAUGAGGAUGAAGAGGAGGAUGAAGAGGAGGAUGAGGAUGAAGAAGGGGAUGAAGUAGGGGAUGAGGAUGAGGAGGAGGAGAAGGAUGAGGAUGAAGAUGAGGACGAGGACGAGGAUGAGGAUGAAGAAGGGGAUGAGGAGGAGGAGGAGGAGGAUGAAGAUGAGGAUGAAGAUGAGGAGGAGGAUGAAGAUGGGGAUGAGGAUGA
rnacentral:lncRNA from 1 species